GGGGUUUGAGUUAUUGUGCACAUUUACCUGUUGUGUUUGCAUUUCAGAUCGUCAGGGAGUACAAAGGCUGCAGUGCAACCUGUUGGUAAGAAAUCACUGGGCAGCAUUAGCUCCCAGAGUUGUGUGUCCGUGGUUAUGGUUCUAGCCUAAAGGGCUGGACGGAAAAGGUUCAAAAUAAAACAUAAAUACAUUCUGAGUACAGGAAAAUAAAGAAACAAAGGAGUAAAAAUCCCCGGAUUCCUUAGGUCAUGAUGAAGGAGAUCAGGAGUCAGGGUAUGACGAGGGCCAGCAGACUUGGCUUCGCUUCCCCUCCUGCCGUGUGAUUCUGAGCAAGACAAUGUUCUUUGUCUGGUAAAGUGGGGAAAAUAACCGCUUCCUACACUGUGAUGACAGAAGACAUCUCAAUAUUGCAGCAUUACCGUGGUUAUUUAAGUGAGAGUUUUGGUUACACAGGGGCGAUGCUGGAGGUCCUCGCUAUGCCCUGGGACCCUUUCAGCCAACAGUGCAGUGCAGCGGUCCUGGGGUGGGACAUGGCAUGCCCAGGGAGCCGGGCUGUUGUGGAGGGUUCUUGGCAACUGCUGCUUGCCCGAAACACCUGCUGGACAUUCCUAUGCACAUGAGAUUGAACUGUGAAUACAGAGUUUGAGCUGCAUGCUUUACUUCCUUAAAGGUCCCCUCUAACUCAAACAAUCCUAUGAUUCUAUUUUGCUGCUCUGUUUCACACGGGAACCUGUCAGAAGUGGAGGCAGUUCUGUGUUUGCCAGCCAGAAUUUAACUGAUCUCCAAUACAGAGCGACAAACACAGAAAGAGAGCCAUUCUCUGACCGGUAGAGUUCCCAAGUGCAAAACAUCUAACUACAAUAAUUUUGAGUAGCAAAUUUUAGCUAAGAAACAUUGGGAGCUAUUUAUUCAGCCUUAUUUCAACCAACUGCUGAACUUUAGUUUACACAAGGGCUGGUGCAGGAGAGCAGUGAGGCACUGCAGCCCAGCCCCGUCCCACCUGGAGCACUGCGGUGUGAGGCCCCAACACCACGUUGUGCAGGGCACAGCAUGCAGCCCACAGCACCUGCCCUGCUGUGCUUUAUCUUGCUUAAUGAACACGGCUCUCUGUGCGUUCCAGGAUCCUUAAUUACUUUUUGCUUGGCAGACGGGAUCCUUGUAUUAUUUUCGUUUUUGUUAAGUAUUACCAGAUUCCUCGAGCAUCACGACUAAGAAGACAAAAGGAACAAAUUCAAAGUCGAUCCUUCUUUUACUAUCCGAAAUUCACUCGCAGAAGGCUGCCCCAUGGAUGCAGGAAAGGGGAAACUCACCUGAAGGCUAUUACAGAUAUGAUUUUACAUUAUUAUUUUCUUUAGCUGCAGAGGUUGUUGGAGUAGCGGUGGAAAAGAAAAGCAAGUGAACAAGCUGCCUGCUGCUUCCUGCCAACAGCUCCUGAUUACUUCAGCUAAUUUCAGGGCCUGGAAACACUGUUGACAACCUGAUUUCUGAAACAUAGGAAGUGUUAUUUGGUCCUGCAAUCUGCACCGUGUCUGUGUCAGGAGUUUCACUGCUGUCACUCGCAGCAACUUUCACUGUUCUAUCGCCAUCUCCCAGAACUAAUUACCUUAAACUGAUGAAAGUAGAUUUUUAAAAGUAAAAUGCUUUCCUAAAUUUGCUUUUCAGGUGCUUUAUGAAGUUGUUUUAGCAUGCUCCGUUGAGCUCUACGCUUACCUGCAUCAGAGAGAGGAACAGAGCGGUAGAAAGACGUUUUGGAGGCUGGCACCAACAGAGGGAAGAAUUAAGUAAGCAGCAAAAUGUGCUGCCCACAUUGCCCCCACCUUGCUCUGUUCCAUGCAGCUCUCUGCUGCUUUUGCAUCUCCCUUCCAUCUGUUCCCCAUGGCCUGCUGAGAGCCACAUCUCCUCUGCUGGCUGCUGCUGCUGUCGCUGCACCCCUUUCUGGCCCUGAUUUCCAAUAGAUAUAACGCUGUUGCAAAGGAUGGAAAAGGCUCAGAGGUGAUGCGAUGGCUCCAGGGGUGCUGACCUAUCCUUGCCCCACGUGGGGCUGCUGAGCAUCGUGCAGCUCUUGGUGCUGCUGCUGUGUGCACUCAGGUGCCAGCUCUGCCAAACCUUCUGCUGUCCUGUCCUCAUACCAUGUGUCCUCAUCAAAAAAAAACAGUGCAGCAAAACACAACAAGCAGUGUUAAAAAUGUGUUGCAGAUGUGGUAGUAACUCCCGGUUGCAAUAGGCAGAUGACUGUUUUUUCCUUGUUUCUGUCCUAAUAUUGGGUCCAGCUGAGACCAGGGUUUUACAUGUAACUACAGUGUCCCUGCCCUGCAGGUCAGGCACUGGUGAAACACAUGUCGGAAGAGAUGAAGAAACUUGUUCGGCAGCACGUGGUGCAGUCAGCGCCCUUCCCGUCUCCCAGAACCCCAACUCAUGGAGGCAGAACCAUCCUGUAGUUCUCUACCACAGAGAUCAUUUUGCUCUCAGACCUUCUGCUGACCCUGAACGACUUUUGUUCUUUGAGAGCUCUUUUAUUUCUCCCUCCUUCUCUCUCUCUCUCCUCUUUUUUUUCUGUUGUUGCUCAUAUUUUCCCCUCUCAUUAAUUAUACAGAUGUGCUGGGGGCCAUGUGCUUUGCCACAUCACAAAGGAAACCACAGGACUUCAGAUCAGAGGAUCUGCCAGAUGUCCUCGCCUGGCAGAGCACCGUGUGAGGGUCCUGGCUACAAGAGCAGGCUUGUCUGCAUCCAUGGGGCACAGCGGGGACAGCACCCAGCAAAGGGGCCACAUAGGAAACAAGCUUAGUGCAAGCACAGAGUAAGAGCUUUGGAUUACUUGAGUUCACUGCUGGGGUCUUUUUUCCCCCUUUAUUUGAGGCACUAACCCCCAGGAUUCCUUAAGACCACAGCUGCUCAUCUGUGCUUUGGUUGAACAUCACCUUAUUUCCUGACGAGCCCUUUACCCCUUGGUGCAGUUUGCAAUUUCAAGUCCAGAACUCAGACCUUCAGGACUGCUCCUGCUUGGGAAAAUGUGCUGUUUGUGUGUGGUUCACUUUGUUCUUAUGUAGUCCAUUCUUUGGAGUGUCAGUAAGAGUUAUUAAAGGCAAUGGCUUUGAAGUGAUCGUUUUCUUCAGGUACCCACUCAGGACCAGGCUGUACGUUGUCUCCUUUGGCAGUGUCUCCAGCAGUCUGCUAGGGAGGCUUUUUCUUUUGAACUUGUAGAAAUGGCAGAGAAAAAUGGUUGGUUUCAUGUUUGGGACUAUGCUUAUUUAUCUUUUCUGCCUUCAGAAGGGUGACUUAAGAUUUAUUUUUUUGCUGAGGGAAAUGGGUCCCAGCAAGGCCUCUGCAAGAAUGGCCUGAGAGUAGAGGUCCCACAUACGGAGGGGCAGGGAGAGGGAAGAAAGCCCCUGUGCUAUUUCUCUCUCUCAAAAGAAACACAAAGAGGAAAGCCAGCCACUACAUAUCCAGCUGUUAUCUCUGAUCUUGCUGCUAUUCUUUAACUAUUUUCUUUCACGUUAUUGAGAUUUGUGAUCAGCAGACACAUGGUUAACACAGGAGUAUAAAGUUUCCUUUCUGUCACUGGUCUCUGGGUCCAGAUUUCCACUCUGGUAAAAGCAGAAAUCGUCAUCAAAAUAACACUUGGGGUUGUGCCCCUGUGCUUCUGGCUCUGGACCAAGUUUAUCCCAAGCUUAGCUGGAUAAUGCUGUAUUCAAACAUCACCAACAGACACCCAGUGUGUAGGAGGUCUUUGACACAGGACUGAAGGAUCCAUAGCAAUUCAGGCAUCCUUGGAAACUGUGCUCUCCUUCCCCUUAAGGCUGAUGACUUUGUCCUUAGUUAUAUUUGUCCAAGGUUUCCAUUAAACAGAUUAUAAUUCCAAAUUCUUAACUUUUAAGGUAAAUGGGAAUGGCUCAUGGCAAAUGGAUUUGCAAACCCAACUAAUGCAUGUAAAUACAGGAUACCAAUUUCAACUAUUUGAUACAUUCGCUCUGCCCAAAACAAGUUAAAACGAACGUGAAAUUUCAAUAGUCAAAAAAGCAAGGUGCAAAAUACGUGGCUAUUAUUGUUUUAUAACUGUCUACAAGCGUUCCACAAUUUUUGAGUGAGUGGAAAAUGGGUAUCUGGGUUAGUUUCUUGCUGCUCUUGGAUAUUCCAUUAGUGUCUUUUGCUGCUGAACACAGGAUAAAUAAAGAUCAAUCCCCUAUCGUCCC
rnacentral:lncRNA from 7 species